UACGUAGGGGGCAAGCGUUGUCCGGAAUCAUUGGGCGUAAAGGGCGCGUAGGCGGCCAUCUAAGUCAGACGUGAAAUCCCUCGGCUCAACCGAGGAACUGCGUCUGAUACUGGAAGGCUUGAAUCCGGGAGAGGGAUGUGGAAUUCCAGGUGUAGCGGUGAAAUGCGUAGAUAUCUGGAGGAACACCGGUGGCGAAGGCGGCAUCCUGGACCGGUAUUGACGCUGAGGCGCGAAAGCUAGGGGAGCAAACGGG
rnacentral:rRNA from 1 species